ACGAACGCUGGCGGCAUGCCUAACACAUGCAAGUCGAACGAGACCUUCGGGUCUAGUGGCGCACGGGUGCGUAACGCGUGGGAAUCUGCCCUUGGGUUCGGGAUAACAGUUGGAAACGACUGCUAAUACCGGAUAAGCCCUUACGGGGAAAGAUUUAUCGCCAUUGGAGCGGCCCGCGUCUGAUUAGCUAGUUGGUGAGGUAAUGGCUCACCAAGGCGACGAUCAGUAGCUGGUCUGAGAGGAUGAUCAGCAUCACUGGGACUGAGACACGGCCCAGACUCCUACGGGAGGCAGCAGUGGGGAAUAUUGGACAAUGGGCGCAAGCCUGAUCCAGCCAUGCCGCGUGGAUGAUGAAGGCCUUAGGGUUGUAAAGUCCUUUUAACGGGGAAGAUAAUGACGGUACCCGUAGAAUAAGCCCCGGCUAACUUCGU
rnacentral:rRNA from 1 species